rnacentral:rRNA from 1 species
UACGUAGGGUGCAAGCGUUAAUCGGAAUUACUGGGCGUAAAGCGUGCGCAGGCGGUCGAUCAAGUCGAGUGUGAAAGCCCCCGGCUCAACUGGGGAGGGUCAUUCGAUACUGAUCGACUCGAAGGCAGGAGAGGGUAGUGGAAUUCCCGGUGUAGUGGUGAAAUGCGUAGAUAUCGGGAGGAACACCAGUGGCGAAGGCGACUACCUGGCCUGUUCUUGACGCUGAGGCGCGAAAGCUAGGGGAGCAAACGGG